UGUACUCACUGCCUUACAUACAAAACUGUAACCCCCCCCCCCCCGUCCGUCACUUUGACAAUAAGUCAGUUAAAAAAAAAAAAAAAGACACAAAUGUCCACACAUCUGGCAAUGCACCCUCCAUGAAGUGCCAAGUGAAGCUAAGAGCCCGCUGGCAGCCCAGGCUCAGC